CCUGGGGAUUGAAGAAGUCUUUAAUCUGUUUCUAAAACAUAAUCAGCAUUUAACAUAUAUGUAUUUAAUGACACAGUUAAAAGUAACAAAAGUUUAUUAAACAAUCAGAUUAUAAAAAUUAAAGCAAAUUUAAUGGAACAAAAAAAAAACAACCUCCAAGGCUAAACAGAACUAUUACAUUAUGAAGGGAAAUUAUUCAUAUUUAAACUUAAAACAGAACAGGACAACUACGUGUAGCCUCUAUAUUGAGAUUUUUUUAAAUUAUAUUUUAUUUUGAACACAGGUUUUCUCCUGAAAUGUUUCCUCUUACAUUAAAGGAAUCUGUGCCUUUUAUUGGUCAGCCAGUAGGGACUGAUUUUAUUAAUUAGCGUUACAUGUGUAAUUAUUAAUGCUGUGUGUGCCCUGAACACAAACACAUGUAGGUAAUGAUGGCUGACCUGCUGUAGUCCUGGAAGAUUUUCUUCAGCCUUACCUGCGUCAUCCAAUCGCUGAGUCAUGAGCUUCUACCACAACCAAUCAGCAUCGGAGCGCACCUCAAUAAACUCCUCCAUCUACGGCUCCAUCUACUCACCAGCUGGGCUUCAACCCACCUCCAUCCCUUCUUCUCCACCCUUGGUCCUUCAUCUUCUUCAGACUUCCAUCCUCUCCUUUGCCUCCUCCACCAGUGUCCGGGUCCCGGGGGGAAGACGUCUCUAAUCCUCAUCCUAAUCUGCGCAUCUAAGCCUAUAUCAUUUCACAGCUUCCAUGUCUUCUACCGGACGCCAUAACUUUAAUCCAUAUCACAGGAGAAAUUGGUCUGGAUAGAUUUUAAUUCCCUUUACUGCUUUUUCACAAACGUCAAGCCUGAUUGUUGCAAUUAUAUUUUGAAGUACCCAAUGUUAAAAUUCACCAUUAAUAGAAAACUCACACUUUUUUUGUCUUUUUGCAGCUUGAACCACUCUACCAGGCAGCGUUCGCUUCUUACCGCAGUUUCAUUGUGAUUUCAUUCAGCAAUGGAUCAAUCAUCAACAACAUUGACCUUGGAUUUGCAACAGCAUCCCAACCUAGUAGCACCCAAAUCAAAGAUGUUUUGGUGAAAGCAAAUUCAACCGUCACAGCUUUCAACAUUGACAUCAACUCAAUUUUUGUGGAUGGCACACAAACGUCGAGUGGAGCAAGCCAUACAAUCAGCCUCAUCACUGCAUUCAGCAUGGUCCUGUUGUCAUGGCUUCUUUCAACACAACAAUAACGUCUCUGCUGGCUUCCAGAGGAAAAUCUGCAUGAAAAUGUCAAUUAUUGCUUGUGUGAACAAGAAUGUUGUUCUAAUUCCAAGAUUCACUUAGAAUUUUAAACUUUAAAACAUUUAUUGAAACUUGAUCAUUUCCUCAUGUCAAUUUUGUCUUAUUUAUUAAUGAAAAACUAAUUAUUCUGUGUCAUUGUAUUAACUUAUCAUAUUCAUCAUGAAGGUAUUUCUUGAAGGAUUAUUUAGUUUGGUGAAGAUUUCUCUCUCAAUAAAUAUUGUAGGAUUUACCAAAAAUAAGCUGUCUGAGCAACGUCCUGUAUGAUUGUCCAGUUUUUUUUUUCCUUUUAAUUGUAUUUAUAACA